UACGUAGGGUGCGAGCGUUGUCCGGAAUUAUUGGGCGUAAAGCGUCCGUAGGUGGCUCUCUCAAGUCUGCGGUCAAAGACCGGGGCUCAACCCUGGAAAGGCCGUGGAAACUGGUGAGCUAGAGUGCGGUAGGGGCAGAGGGAAUUCCCAGUGUAGCGGUGAAAUGCGUAGAGAUUGGGAAGAACACCGGUGGCGAAAGCGCUACUGCUGGGCCGCAACUGACACUAAUGGACGAA
rnacentral:rRNA from 1 species